GCAGAUUUAGCCCCAAAAUGCUAAUUUAGCUAUGAUUUUAUCUAUUACUGAUGUGAUUAUUUGUUUCACAGGGUUCUUGUACAUGCGAAAGUGCAUGAUUUUUCGAUGGUUGUCUAGCUGCAGUUGUCUCCCCAUGUAAUGGCAUCAAGUUCAGAGCGCCCCAACUGCCUCUCCUUCGACCGUGGUUCAGGAGAGCAUGUCUAAAGAAAAGAAAAACCUGGAUAAUCAUGGUUGUUACAGGCCUAGGGAAAUUGAUACACUCAUGGGCCACCUGAUGUUGGUUGUCAAGCUUGUUUGCUGCGACCAUCAGCCGAUGUAUCCUUCAUCAGUGCACGGCCAUGGCGAUGAAAUGCUGCGUUGAUGGGUCUAGUUUCAGAAUUAAGCUAUGUAGUUUGGCUCUGUCAUGUUGCAAUGUCUGUGAAGGAAGGACACAAAGUGCUAGUGCUUCCUGGGCUGUGUAGACCCCAAAUAUUUUUAUUAGCUCAUCUGAGAAGUACUCCCUCUGUUCGUAACUGUAAGUAUUUUUAGAUAUUCCAAUUCGGACUGCAUACGGAGCAAAAUGAGUGAAUGUACACUCUAAAAUAUGUAGUCCAUAUUGACAUCUCUAGAAAGACUUUUAUUUAGGAACGGAGGGAGUAGUUGAUGACAUAAAUAAUCAACUUGGUUUUGGGUCAAAA